rnacentral:rRNA from 1 species
AUACGUAGGGUGCGAGCGUUGUCCGGAAUUACUGGGCGUAAAGAGCUCGUAGGUGGUUUGUCGCGUCGUCUGUGAAAUUCCGGGGCUUAACUCCGGGCGUGCAGGCGAUACGGGCAUAACUUGAGUACUGUAGGGGAGACUGGAAUUCCUGGUGUAGCGGUGAAAUGCGCAGAUAUCAGGAGGAACACCGGUGGCGAAGGGGGUUCUCUGGGCAGUAACUGACGCUGAGGAGCGAAAGCAUGGGUAGCGAACAGGAUUAGAUACCCUGGUAUUCCAGGCCGUAAACGGUGGGCGCUAGGUGUAGGGGUCUUCCACGACUUCUGUGCCGUAGCUAACGCAUUAAGCGCCCCGCCUGGGGAGUACGGCCGCAAGGCUAAAACUCAAAUGAAUUGACGGGG